rnacentral:rRNA from 1 species
GACAGAGGGUGCAAGCGUUGUUCGGAAUUACUGGGCGUAAAGGGCGUGUAGGCGGUUAGGUAAGUCUGAUGUGAAAUCACCAUCGCUUAACGAGGUGUCCGCAUCGGAAACUGUCUAACUUGAGUAUAGGAGAGGAGAACGGAAUUCCUGGUGUAGCGGUGGAAUGUGUAGAUAUCAGGAGGAACACCUGUGGCGAAGGCGGUUCUCUGGCCUAAUACUGACGCUGAGGCGCGAAAGCUAGGGGA